GAGUUUGGCUAAAAAAUCCUUAGGAUAGGAUAGAUUGAUACCCAAGGGUUGUUUGUUUGUGAGACAGGGUCAAAAUCAGACCUUUAGCAACUAAAAUAAUGGCCUAGGGCAAAAUAGGAUUUCAUUCAAAGAUCGGAGAUUAGGGUUUGAUAGCUAGCUUGAAGUUCUUUCCAAAGAAAUAAGAUUUGUUUUGAGAGGGUUUUGGAAGACUUAACAAUUGUUGUUCAUAACCAAGAUUUGUAUUAGUGAUUUGGAUUUUAUAUAAUAUAAUUAGGGCUAGAAAUUUUGUCUAAACCGUGCAAUUAACAAGACAUCUACGGUUGAAAAUUUGAUAUUGUUUGGAUUAUUAGGUGUGCUAAGUUUAUACAAAAUUUUGUGAUAAUCUAACGGCGUGGUUUAAAGAUAUCUAGUUUUUAGCACAAGAGGAUUUCAGAAGGUGGCAGUUUGAGGUUGGGUAGGGUUUCUAUGAUAUCUAAAGAUCUAUUUGUUGGAUUAAGGUAAAAAUUGGCAUGGUAUUGGAGGACUUAAAGAUCAAGCUACACAUCAAUUUUGAGACAAAGUUAAUGGUUGGAGAAGGAGAAAUCAUUGCUGGGAUUUUUGCUUCACUUUUCAAGUUGGAGGCUAAGUGACAUUGGUGCAAUUUUUGGAGGUUUUCUCAUAAUCUAUAAGUUGGAUUGGGCUAAAAAUUCUUAAACAUUUAGAAGACUUGCACUGAAAAUUUCAAGAAAAAUUCCAUAUCAAGUGGAUGGUCGGAUUGGAUGUUACAGCUUGUUAAAGCUCACUGAUUAAGAGUAGAGGUUACAAGAAAAAUCUAAAUUGCUUAAAUAUGAAAGUAACAAGGUAAUUGGGAUUUAUGCAUGGUUAAGACUAAUAGGAAGAGUGUUUUAAGCACUUUUGAAUUUAAAUUCAGAUUAUAUUCUUCUUGUAUGGACAAAACCUAUUAGAGUUUCUUGGCUACUUGUGAAAUAUAAUCUCACUUUCCAUAGCUAAGUGCCCAAUGCAUUCUUGA
rnacentral:lncRNA from 1 species